rnacentral:rRNA from 1 species
UUCCACUGCAGUUCUUAACUGGUUCCCCACUGAAGUUAAGCAGCAUUGAGCCUGGCCAGUACCUGCAUGGGGGACCUCCUGGGGAAAACUAAAGUUGCUGCUGGAAG